rnacentral:lncRNA from 1 species
UGGGCUUGGAGAUCGCCGUCGGGUCGGUUGUUGGGCCCUAGAAUGACUCUGAUGAGUCAACCUCCUCUCUGAAUUUUAAGGAGGUGCCUACGGCUUUAGUUGAGGUGGUGGUUGCAGAGCCACAAUUGAAGCAGGAUUUUGUUGAGGUGCUGCUGUGGAUGGCACAGGUGGCACCAUCGAGGGAACCAUGUGACGCACCACCGUGGGGGGUGCAGGGACAACCUAAGAGGCUGUGGUGCCACUUAGAAAGAUGCGAGAAAGGUCUGGACCACCUGAAUUGCAGUCGUCAGAUGUUGAACUUGCUGAGAGAGUUGACCAAAUUGGUCAGCCGUGACUGGUGCCGGG